rnacentral:rRNA from 1 species
ACGUACGUGCGUUCGGAUAUUGGGCGUAAGAGCUCGUAGGCGGUUUGUCGCGUCUGCCGUGAAAGUCCGGGGCUCAACUCCGGAUCUGCGGUGGGUACGGGCAGACUAGAGUGAUGUAGGGGAGACUGGAAUUCCUGGUGUAGCGGUGAAAUGCGCAGAUAUCAGGAGGAACACCGAUGGCGAAGGCAGGUCUCUGGGCAUUAACUGACGCUGAGGAGCGAAAGCAUGGGGAGCGAACAGGAUUAGAUACCCUGGUAGUCCAUGCCGUAAACGUUGGGCACUAGGUGUGGGGGACAUUCCACGUUUUCCGCGCCGUAGCUAACGCAUUAAGUGCCCCGCCUGGGGAGUACGGCCGCAAGGCUAAAACUCAAAGGAAUUGACGGGGGCCCGCACAAGCGGCGGAGCAUGCGGAUUAAUUCGAUGCAACGCGAAGAACCUUACCAAGGCUUGACAUGGGCCGGAUCGCCGCAGAAAUGUGGUUUCCCCUUUGGGGCCGGUUCACAGGUGGUGCAUGGUUGUCGUCAGCUCGUGUCGUGAGAUGUUGGGUUAAGUCCCGCAACGAGCGCAACCCUCGUUCUAUGUUGCCAGCGCGUUAUGGCGGGGACUCAUAGGAGACUGCCGGGGUCAACUCGGAGGAAGGUGGGGACGACGUCAAAUCAUCAUGCCCCUUAUGUCUUGGGCUUCACGCAUGCUACAAUGGCCGGUACAAAGGGUUGCGAUACUGUGAGGUGGAGCUAAUCCCAAAAAGCCGGUCUCAGUUCGGAUUGGGGUCUGCAACUCGACCCCAUGAAGUCGGAGUCGCUAGUAAUCGCAGAUCAGCAACGCUGCGGUGAAUACGUUCCCGGGGCCUUGUACACACCGCCCGUCAAGUCACGAAAGUUGGUAACACCCGAAGCCGGUGGGCCUAACCCCUUGUGGGAGGGAGCUGUCGAAGGGGGACUGGCGAUUGGGACUAAGUCGACCACAAAGUAUAACACAC